rnacentral:rRNA from 1 species
UACAGAGGUCUCAAGCGUUGUUCGGAUUCAUUGGGCGUAAAGGGUGCGUAGGCGGCGCGGUAAGUCGGGUGUGAAAUCUCGGAGCUUAACUCCGAAACUGCAUUCGAUACUGCCGUGCUUGAGGACUGGAGAGGAGACUGGAAUUUACGGUGUAGCGGUGAAAUGCGUAGAUAUCGUAAGGAAGACCAGUGGCGAAGGCGGCUCUCUGGGACGGUACUGACGCUGAUGAGCGAAAGCUAGGGGAGCAAACGGG